UCCUGACUGACCGAUAGUGAACCAGUACCGUGAGGGAAAGGCGAAAAGAACCCCGGCGAGGGGAGUGAAAAAGAACCUGAAACCGUGUACGUACAAGCAGUGGGAGCACGCUUAGGCGUGUGACUGCGUACCUUUUGUAUAAUGGGUCAGCGACUUAUAUUCUGUAGCAAGGUUAACCGAAUAGGGGAGCCGAAGGGAAACCGAGUCUUAACUGGGCGUUAAGUUGCAGGGUAUAGACCCGAAACCCGGUGAUCUAGCCAUGGGCAGGUUGAAGGUUGGGUAACACUAACUGGAGGACCGAACCGACUAAUGUUGAAAAAUUAGCGGAUGACUUGUGGCUGGGGGUGAAAGGCCAAUCAAACCGGGAGAUAGCUGGUUCUCCCCGAAAGCUAUUUAGGUAG
rnacentral:rRNA from 1 species